UAAUGGGGUACAAAGGCUAAGGUCGCGAUGUCCUGUCGCAACGCCUUCGUGACCNACCAAUCGG
rnacentral:sRNA from 1 species